rnacentral:lncRNA from 1 species
GUGGGUCUGAAAAGUGUAGUGUGUACGCAGACCUUACCCUUACCCUUGGGUAGAGAUAAUGUUUUCAAAUAGACCCCCGGCAUCCUUCCCUCCAAGAACUUUCUACCUUGCUCUUGGGGAGACUCGAACUCACAACCUCUCGGUUGGAAGUGGGGUUUGCUUACCAUCAGAGCAACCCCUCUUGUCAUGUGGCACCUCUCUAAUGCUUGAAGAAAAAAGGUUAUCUUUUUUGUCAUUUUUUUGCCUUUUCCUCUCACUUCUCUAUUAAAUAUCUGUUUUUUUGUUCCAACGUAAUGUAAACCUGCAACUAUUCAGCUACUAUAAUGAUCGGUUACAAAGGUUGGAGUCAAACAAUAAUGGGUUGUGGUUGAAUUCUCUUCCUAUUAAACAUCCUUAGAUAAAUUGUCAAUUAAAAAAUAAUUUCUUUGCACUGCUUUAAAUUCAGGCAAACUAUUCAUCUGGACUCUAUUGCUUAUGUUGUAGUUAUGAUGGAAGUGAAAAACUAUUAAAAAUGCACAAGAAUUUUAACAUAUUCCAAUCAAGAGAGAUACUACCUAAGCUUUUGGCUUUACCUUUCAAUAGGAGGAAAAAGAGUCUGGCAUUUGUUCUUCGGGGAAGAAGGGGUUUGGCUGAAAGGUAUUUGCAGUUUGUUAGGCUAUAGCCAUACAUAAAGAUUUUAGGUGUGCCAGUUUAUAUGUGCAUAUUCUUUAAUGGUAUAUUUUUGUUAAUUAUUUUUGGUUCCAAUUUGCUAAUUGCAAUGGUGGGUUAUUGUAAAUUUAUUUGUCUUGAGUUAGCAAGUUGUUGAAAUUAUAUCAAUGUUUGAAUUCCAAUACAGACUAUGCGUGUGGUAAUUACAUUGCCCUUGACGGAUUUCCA